rnacentral:tRNA from 2 species
GGCCGUGUGGCUCAAUGGCAGAGCGUCUGACUACGAAUAGUAUAUCAGGAGGUUGCAGGUUCGACCCCUGUCUCGGUCA